rnacentral:ncRNA from 1 species
UGUCAUAAGAUUUCCCAAAAAUCAAUCUCAAUGAAGAGGGUGUUGAAAUCAAGGAAACAUUUGAGGGCAUUCCAUAUUUUUUUCCCUUCAAGCAAUAUCACAGACAACUUUCCAUCCAAAGUCAACAAAAUUGAAACCCAUUUUUGAGAGUUGUUGGUGCCUCCUCCUAUAACUGACGACAACGUGCGCGAAUUUGGAUACGUCGUCAAGGGCCCCAGGAAGAGUUAUCUUUUAUUUUUAACAUCUUUCCCACCUUGAAAUUAGCUCAAUCGGAGAUAGGGUCCAGCAGUUGGAAGAGAAUCGAACGUCUUGCGGUGUCCGAUGCACCCUUGAUGGCCCUUGAAAAUCUGGAGGACCGAGUAUCGUCCAUGCCCGUUCGUACUCAUAACUGCAUCAGGUCUCCAAGGUGAACAACCUCU